UACGUAGGGGGCAAGCGUUGUCCGGAAUUAUUGGGCGUGAAGCGCGCGCAGGCGGUUCUUUAAGUCUUGUGUUUAAGGCCGGGGCUCAACCCUGGUACGCAUGGGAAACUGGAGAACUGGAGUGCAGGAGAGGAAAGUGGAAUUCCACGUGUAGGGGUGAAAUGCGUAGAGAUGUGGAGGAACACCAGUGGCGAAGGCGGCUUUCUGGCCUGUAACUGACGCUGAGGCGCGAAAGCGUGGGGAGCAAACAGG
rnacentral:rRNA from 1 species